ACCUCUCUUCCCCCCUUUUGGCUAAUAUCAAGUGUAGUAUCUGUUCUUAUCAGUUUAAUACCCUAUAUCUUUUGAUUGGAGUAUUUAGUCAAUUUACAUUCAGUGUUAUUAUUGAACAUAU
rnacentral:snRNA from 1 species